rnacentral:rRNA from 1 species
UUUUGGAAAAGUAAAAUGCUACAGUGAUCCAUCCGUAGACUGCGAAGCUUUGCAGCUGGAACAGUAGCCUAAGCGACUAUAAACAAUUUAGCCUAAUGCAAGUCAGCGUUUGUGGCGACACUUCGAAAUGCGGGAAAACCCUAAGAGCCCUUUACACCAAACCCAGUUAGGGAAACUGCUGGCGGCCCUGUGGGGAAACUACAGGGGUAUGGUAACAGUUAAAGGGAUGAGCGAAGAUGAAUGUGAGUCCUCAUCGCGAAAAUGGGCGAUCCGCAGCGAAGCCCCUGGGUGUUCAUGGUAGUGCUCGUCGAAGUCCAAACUCGGUGUUGGAGCUGGUGGAAGGCUUGUCCUCGACUUUCUCCUGGCGCAAUCAAACAUGGGGAAACGUUCACAGACUAAGUGGAAGUGGGUGGAGCUUAAUAGCUCUGCUUAAGAUUUAGUCGGGCCCCUUUGGAAACUCUGGGGAUGGAAUUAACUCUUAUUGCCCUUAAAGUUGGUUCCUCAAAGCCGUUCCGUAGGUGAACCUGCGGAAGGAUCAUUAUCAGAGGGGCUCGCCCCUUCGAGAUAGAACCCUUGCCUUUGAAGUACCAUCCGUUUCCUCGGCAGGCUCGCCUGCCAAUGGGGACCCCAUAGAAACCUUUUUGUAGUUGCAGUAAACGUCUCUAAAAAGAAUUAAUCAAAACUUUCAACAACGGAUCUCUUGGUUCUGGCAUCGAUGAAGAACGCAGCGAAAUGCGAUAAGUAGUGUGAAUUGCAGAAUUCAGUGAAUCAUCGAAUCUUUGAACGCACAUUGCGCCCUUUGGCAUUCCUUAGGGCAUGCCUGUUCGAGCGUCAUCUAACCCCUCAAGCUCUGCUUGGUGUUGGGCGUCUGUCCCGCCUCGGGCGCGGACUCGCCUUAAAAUCAUUGGCAGCCUGUGUAUUGGCUUCGAGCGCAGCAGAUUCGCGCCUCGUCCCCCUUACGCAGAGCGUCCAGCAAGCCUAAAACCCAUCGUUAUUGACCUCGGAUCCCUGAUGAACAUUGGC